UACGGAGGGUGCGAGCGUUUGUCCGGAAUCAUUGGGCGUAAAGGGCGCGUAGGUGGCCCGGUCAGUCAGUGGUGAAAGCGCGGGGCUCAACUCCGCGUCGGCCAUUGAUACUGCUGGGCUUGAGCACUGUAGAGGCAGGCGGAAUUCCGGGUGUAGCGGUGGAAUGCGUAGAGAUCCGGAAGAACACCGGUGGCGAAGGCGGCCUGCUGGGCAGUAGCUGACACUGAGGCGCGACAGCGUGGGGAGCAAACAGG
rnacentral:rRNA from 1 species